UCUUUAUCCCUCUUCUUUGCAAUCCAUCAUUGACCAAUAAUUUCUCGCUAAUCAAAUGCUAGUUGAUUCAUCAAUAACCUUGUGUCAGAUGAAUCAACAUGAGCUUGAUAUAUAUAGGUCCACCCCAUUUUAUUUUUGUGUGUGGUAUGCUUUAAGAGCUUGAUUUUUUGUAUCAUGUAUCUAGCAUGCAUUAACACCAAUAUUUUU
rnacentral:lncRNA from 1 species